AGUGAACGCUGGCGGUAGGCCUAACACAUGCAAGUCGAACGGCAGCACAGUAAGAGCUUGCUCUUACGGGUGGCGAGUGGCGGACGGGUGAGGAAUACAUCGGAAUCUACUUUUUCGUGGGGGAUAACGUAGGGAAACUUACGCUAAUACCGCAUACGACCUACGGGUGAAAGCAGGGGAUCUUCGGACCUUGCGCGAUUGAAUGAGCCGAUGUCGGAUUAGCUAGUUGGCGGGGUAAAGGCCCACCAAGGCGACGAUCCGUAGCUGGUCUGAGAGGAUGAUCAGCCACACUGGAACUGAGACACGGUCCAGACUCCUACGGGAGGCAGCAGUGGGGAAUAUGGGACAAUGGGCGCAAGCCUGAUCCAGCCAUACCGCGUGGGUGAAGAAGGCCUUCGGGUUGUAAAGCCCUUUUGUUGGGAAAGAAAAGCAGCAGGUUAAUACCCAGCUGUUCUGACGGUACCCAAAGAAUAAGCACCGGCUAACUUCGUG
rnacentral:rRNA from 1 species